UACGUAGGGUGCGAGCGUUAAUCGGAAUUACUGGGCGUAAAGCGUGCGCAGGCGGUUCGUUGUGUCCGAUGUGAAAGCCCCGGGCUUAACCUGGGAAUGGCAUUGGAAACUGGCGAGCUUGAGUGCGGCAGAGGGGGGUGGAAUUCCGCGUGUAGCAGUGAAAUGCGUAGAGAUGCGGAGGAACACCGGAUGGCGAAGGCAGCCCCCUGGGUCGACACUGACGCUCGAGGCACGAAAGCGUGGGGAGCAAACAGG
rnacentral:rRNA from 1 species